CAGUAGCCACGGUAAUACGGAGGGUGCAAGCGUUAAUCGGAAUUACUGGGCGUAAAGCGUGCGUAGGCGGUUCGUUAAGUCUGUUGUGAAAGCCCCGGGCUCAACCUGGGAAUGGCAAUGGAUACUGGCGAGCUAGAGUGUGUCAGAGGAUGGUGGAAUUCCCGGUGUAGCGGUGAAAUGCGUAGAGAUGCGGAGGAACACCAGUGGCGAAGGCGACUCUCUGGUCUGCAACUGACGCUGAGGAGCGAAAGCGUGGGGAGCGAACAGGAUUAGAUACCCCAGUAGUCCCUGUCUCUUAUAA
rnacentral:rRNA from 1 species